rnacentral:rRNA from 1 species
UACGUAGGGUGCGAGCGUUAAUCGGAAUUACUGGGCGUAAAGCGUGCGCAGGCGGUUUUGUAAGUCAGAUGUGAAAGCCCCGGGCUCAACCUGGGAACUGCGUUUGAAACUGCAAGGCUAGAGUGUAGGAGAGGGGGGUAGAAUUCCACGUGUAGCAGUGAAAUGCGUAGAGAUGUGGAGGAAUACCAAUGGCGAAGGCAGCCCCCUGGCCUAACACUGACGCUCAUGCACGAAAGCGUGGGGAGCAAACAGG